AAAGGACCCGGUGGGGGGAGCAGGCCUGGCUCCUCGGGCCCCCCAGGCUUGGCCGAUCCCGCCCCAGCUUCGACUAUGGGUGGCUACGCUUUCAUCCGUAUGAAAUGGGAGUUCCUGGGGACGUGAACCAGGCAAAGCUGCUAUGAGCAUUUGUGCAAAAGUUUUCCCGCGGACACGAGCUUUCAUUUCCAUCGGCAUCCCCCUAGGAAGGGAGUCACCGGACGACAACCUCAGGAGAGUGACCAGACCCUCCGAAGUCCCUCCUGGCGCCUAAUGAGUCUGAUCAGAUAAAGAAGGUCGCGGGUGGAUGGCCCUCCAGACCACCGGACGGUCCCACGAUGCGGGACAGACUCGCCAAGACUCCGGAGGAAGCUUCAUCACAGACCCCUGCUGACUGCUGUCCCCCUUCACUCUCCAGCUUGUUCACUAUGUCAUCACUAAGCCCCAGCCCUGAGACGGGCUCACAGUUCUGAAGGCACGAGCCUGCUGUGAGUCCCCUUCACCCGGCAAGGUAAUAAAGCUGC